UACGUAGGCAGCAAGCGUUGCUCGGAAUGACUGGGCGUAAAGGGCGCGUAGGCGGAUGGCACAGUCAGAUGUGAAAUUCCCGGGCUUAACCUGGGGGCUGCAUUUGAUACGUGUUGUCUUGAGUUCGGAAGAGGGUCGUGGAAUUCCCAGUGUAGAGGUGAAAUUCGUAGAUAUUGGGAAGAACACCGGUGGCGAAGGCGGCGACCUGGUCCGACACUGACGCUGAGGCGCGAAAGCGUGGGGAGCAAACAGG
rnacentral:rRNA from 1 species